rnacentral:pre_miRNA from 1 species
AUGUAAGGCAAUCUGUCUUUAGGAGUAAAUCACUCUAAAAAAAAAAAUCGCAGUUUUCCCUUUAAGUAACUUGUUUUUU